GAGACGGUUUUGCUGUCACUUAUAGAUGGACCCGCGGCGUAUUAGCUAGUUGGUAAGGUAACGGCUUACCAAGGCAACGAUACGUAGCCGACCUGAGAGGGUGAUCGGCCACACUAACUGAGACACGGUCCAGACUCCUACGGGAGGCAGCAGUAGGGAAUCUUCCGCAAUGGGCGAAAGCCUGACGGAGCAACGCCGCGUGAGUGAUGAAGGUCUUCGGAUCGUAAAACUCUGUUAUUAGGGAAGAACAAGGAUGUAAGUAACUAUGCAUCCCUUGACGGUACCUAAUCAGAAAGCCACGGCUAACUACGUGCCAGCAGCCGGUAAUACGUAGGUGGCAAGCGUUAUCCGGAAUUAUUGGGCGUAAAGCGCGCGUAGGCGGUUUUUUAAGUCUGAUGUGAAAGCCCACGGCUCAAGUGGAGGGUCAUUGGAAACUGGAAAACUUGAGUGCAGAAGAGGAAAGUGGAAUUCCAUGUGUAGCGGUGAAAUGCGCAGAGAUAUGGAGGAACACCAGUGGCGAAGGCGACUUUCUGGUCUGCAACUGACGCUGAUGUGCGAAAGCGUGGGGAUCAAACAGGAUUAGAUACCCUGGUAGUCCACGCCGUAAACGAUGAGUGCUAAGUGUUAGGGGGUUUCCGCCCCUUAGUGCUGCAGCUAACGCAUUAAGCACUCGCCUGGGGAGUACGGCCGCAAGGCUGAAACUCAAAGGAAUUGACGGGGACCCGCACAAGCGGUGGAGCAUGUGGUUUAAUUCGAAGAACGCGAAGAACCUUACCAAAUCUUGACAUCCUUUGACAACUCUAGAGAUAGAGCUUUCCCCUUCGGGGGACAAAGUGACAGGUGGUGCAUGGUUGCGUCAGCUCGUGUCGUGAGAUGUUGGGUUAAGUCCCGCAACGAGCGCAACCCUUAAGCUUAGUUGCCAGCAUUAAGUUGGGCACUCUAAGU
rnacentral:rRNA from 1 species